rnacentral:rRNA from 1 species
GAGUUUGAUCGUGGCUCAGAUUGAACGCUGGCGGCAUGCCUUACACAUGCAAGUCGAACGGCAGCAUGAUCUAGCUUGCUAGAUUGAUGGCGAGUGGCGAACGGGUGAGUAAUACAUCGGAACGUGCCCUGUAGUGGGGGAUAACUAGUCGAAAGAUUAGCUAAUACCGCAUACGACCUGAGGGUGAGAGUGGGGGACCGCAAGGCCUCAUGCUAUAGGAGCGGCCGAUGUCUGAUUAGCUAGUUGGUGGGGUAAAGGCCCACCAAGGCGACGAUCAGUAGCUGGUCUGAGAGGACGAUCAGCCACACUGGGACUGAGACACGGCCCAGACUCCUACGGGAGGCAGCAGUGGGGAAUUUUGGACAAUGGGCGAAAGCCUGAUCCAGCGAUGCCGCGUGUGUGAAGAAGGCCUCGG